rnacentral:tRNA from 1 species
UGUUAUUUAGUUUAAUUAGAACAAUUAAUUUGCAUUUAAUAAGAGUAAUCAAUAACUA